UAGGGAAUCUUCCACAAUGGACGAAAGUCUGAUGGAGCAACGCCGCGUGAGUGAAGAAGGUUUUCGGAUCGUAAAGCUCUGUUGUUGGUGAAGAAGGAUAGAGGCAGUAACUGGUCUUUAUUUGACGGUAAUCAACCAGAAAGUCACGGCUAACUACGUGCAAG
rnacentral:rRNA from 1 species